UACGGGGGGAGCAAGCGUUGUUCGGAUUUACUGGGCGUAAAGGGCGCGUAGGCGGCCUCCGCAAGUCAGUUGUGAAAUCUCCGAGCUUAACUCGGAAAGGUCAACUGAUACUGCGGGGCUAGAGUGCGGAAGGGGCAACUGGAAUUCUUGGUGUAGCGGUGAAAUGCGUAGAUAUCAAGAGGAACACCUGCGGCGAAGGCGGGUUGCUGGGCCGACACUGACGCUGAGGCGCGAAGGUCAGGGGAGCAAACGGG
rnacentral:rRNA from 1 species